rnacentral:rRNA from 1 species
UACGGAGGAUCCUAGUGUUAUCCGGAUUUAUUGGGUUUAAAGGGAGCGUAGGCGGGAGGUCAAGUCAGCUGUGAAAUGUAUCUGCUUAACGGGUACACUGCAGUUGAAACUGGUUUUCUUGAGUGCGUAAGAGGCAGGCGGAAUUCGUUGUGUAGCGGUGAAAUGCUUAGAUAUGACGAGGAACUCCGAUUGCGAAGGCAGCUUACUGGGAUGCAACUGACGCUGAGGCACGAAAGCGUGGGUAUCAAACAGGAUUAGAUACCCGGGUA